ensembl:snRNA U6 U6 spliceosomal RNA
AUGCUUGUUUCAGCAGCACAUAGACUAAAAUUGGAACGAUACAAAGAAGAUUAGCAUGGCCCCAACACAAGGAUGACAAAUUCAUGAAGCAUUCUAUAAUUUU